rnacentral:lncRNA from 1 species
UAAGAAACACAUGACGGACAAUCUCUAGCCAGGGUUACCGCUACCGGCACAUCCUACAGCACAGCUUCGGCGUAAUAGAAGUAGUACGUAGUAUCCCACAGCACAGCUUCGGCGUAAUAGUUGUAUGUAGUAUCCCACAGCAAGUAGAGCGGUACAUGCGGUGGGUCUGGCCAGAACUUUCUCCUCUCCUCUGUGUGAGUUGUGACGUCCACGCUUCUGGACCAGUCCCUAGGCAUCCUUGUGCCGUUGUGCGGCGGAGGUGCGCGUGUGCGGCCUAGCAAUCUCCACCGCAUGGAAGUGGUGCCGCUUUGCAUUUCAUCAUGGGUGCUGACUCAUGACCGGUGCGGCCACACCCAUGAUUUGGUCCAUUCGCGUUGGCGGCCCAUAGGAUCACGAUCAUUGUUCCUUUCCUUCCUUUGGCUCGGCUGCCCUGCACUGCUUGUGUCUCCCACCACCCCUCCACUCCCCGCCCC